UUGCCGUAGGCAACGACCCGAAGGGCGAAGCGCGCAGCGCUGAGUCAUCCUACCCCCACCACCA
rnacentral:sRNA from 1 species